GGAGUAGUGGCUCAGAGGUUAAGAGCACUGACUGUUCUUCCAGAGGUCCUGAGUUCAAUUCCCAGCAACUACA
rnacentral:tRNA from 1 species